rnacentral:rRNA from 1 species
AGAGUUUGAUCCUGGCUCAGGAUGAACGCUGGCGGCGUGCCUAACACAUGCAAGUCGAACGGAACUUCUUUGACAGAAUUCUUCGGAAGGAAGUUGAUUUAGUUUAGUGGCGGACGGGUGAGUAACGCGUGAGUAACCUGCCUUCAAGGGGGGGAUAACAUUCUGAAAAGAAUGCUAAUACCGCAUGACAUAUCGGAAUCACAUGAUUUUGAUAUCAAAGAUUUUAUCGCUUGAGGAUGGACUCGCGUCCGAUUAGUUAGUUGGUGAGGUAACGGCUCACCAAGACCGCGAUCGGUAGCCGGACUGAGAGGUUGAACGGCCACAUUGGGACUGAGACACGGCCCAGACUCCUACGGGAGGCAGCAGUGGGGGAUAUUGCGCAAUGGGGGGAAACCCUGACGCAGCAACGCCGCGUGAAGGAUGAAGGUCUUCGGAUUGUAAACUUCUUUUAUUAAGGACGAAGAAAGUGACGGUACUUAAUGAAUAAGCUCCGGCUAACUACGUGCCAGCAGCCGCGGUAAUACGUAGGGAGCAAGCGUUGUCCGGAUUUACUGGGUGUAAAGGGUGCGUAGGCGGCUUUGCAAGUCAGAUGUGAAAUCUAUGGGCUCAACCCAUAGCCUGCAUUUGAAACUGCAGAGCUUGAGUGAAGUAGAGGCAGGCGGAAUUCCCCGUGUAGCGGUGAAAUGCGUAGAGAUGGGGAGGAACACCAGUGGCGAAGGCGGCCUGCUGGGCUUUAACUGACGCUGAGGCACGAAAGCGUGGGUAGCAAACAGGAUUAGAUACCCUGGUAGUCCACGCUGUAAACGAUGAUUACUAGGUGUGGGGGGUCUGACCCCUUCCGUGCCGGAGUUAACACAAUAAGUAAUCCACCUGGGGAGUACGGCCGCAAGGUUG